CCUACGGGUGGCAGCAGUGAGGAAUAUUGGUCAAUGGACGAGAGCCUGAACCAGCCAAGUAGCGUGAAGGAUGACUGCCCUAUGGGUUGUAAACUUCUUUUAUAUGGGAAUACAAUGUUACACGUGUGGGAUUUUGUAUGUACCAUAUGUAUAAGGAUCGGCUAACUCCGUGCCAGCAGCCGCGGUAAUACGGAGGAUCCGAGCGUUGUGCGGAUUUAUUGGGUUUAAAGGGAGCGUAUGUGGAUUGUUAAGUCAGUUGUGAAAGUUUGUGGCUCAACCGUAAAAUUGCAGUUGAUACUGGCAGUCUUGAGUACAGUAGAGGUGGGCGGAAUUCGAGGUGUAGCGGUGAAAUGCUUAGAUAUCACGAAGAACUCCGAUUGCGAAGGCAGUUCACUGGACUGCAACUGACACUGAGGCUCGAAAGUGUGGGUAUCAAACAGGAUUAGAUACCCCAGUAGUC
rnacentral:rRNA from 1 species